rnacentral:tRNA from 2 species
GGGGUUUUAGCUCAGUUGGUAGAGCGCCUGUUUUGCACACAGGAGGUCAGCGGUUCGAAUCCGCUAAGCUCCA